AAGCAGGAUUUAGACUACAAUAUAGCUGUUCAGUGCUGUGUUGUCGUUCCCCCUGCUAAAAAUAAAAGUUGUUUCUUAUCUAUCCCUGUCUGCUGAACUCUUGUAGCAGCCAGGGACGCUUGGUCUCAUACAC
rnacentral:snoRNA from 1 species